UGACGGCCAUAUCAGGUUGAAACACCUGUUCUCGGCCAAUCAUUGAAGUUAAGCAACGUCGAACAUGGUCAGUACCUAGAUGGGUGACCUCUCGGGAAUGCAUAGUGCUGUAA